rnacentral:rRNA from 1 species
AUGAAAAAGGAAUUGGAAAGGCAGACAUUAUUUAAGACUAGACGAUGCAUGUCUGCCCGGCCAGGCCAGGGCCUUCAGUGUCAACGCUCGGCGCUCGACGGGCCCGUGCCAUGUGAGGAGGUCAGAGUAGGCGGGGCUGAGUGGCGACGUGUUGUUUGUUACUGGAGAAAAGAUGCUGACCGAACUUGGAUUAAGCUGCGACACUCGUACUACUUAAUUUGGCUUCCGGAAAGUGUAGUUUUGGUGGCUGGGUCCGUCGUCCGGAAUGCUUUGUUUGGGAUGCAAGCAAUGCGAUGCUUGCUCAUUCUACGGGCGUACGAGUACGACGUAUUUCGACUGGAUAAUCUUGUUGCCUUGGAUGUGGUGAUAAGUUAG